CCUACGGGUGGCUGCAGUGAGGAAUAUUGGUCAAUGGGCGUAAGCCUGAACCAGCCAAGUAGCGUGAGGGAUGAAGGUUCUACGGAUCGUAAACUUCUUUUAUAAGGGAAUAAAGUGAGGCACGUGUCCCGUUUUGUAUGUACUUUAUGAAUAAGGAUCGGCUAACUCCGUGCCAGCAGCCGCGGUAAUACGGAGGAUCCGAGCGUUAUCCGGAUUUAUUGGGUUUAAAGGGUGCGUAGGUGGGUUGUUAAGUCAGUGGUGAAAGUUUGCGGCUCAACCGUAAAAUUGCAGUUGAAACUGGCAGGCUUGAGUAUAGUUGAGGCAGGCGGAAUGCGUGGUGUAGCGGUGAAAUGCUUAGAUAUCACGCAGAACUCCGAUUGCGAAGGCAGCCUACUAAGC
rnacentral:rRNA from 1 species